AUGUCUGCUUAUGAUAUUACCCAAGGGGGAUCUGUAUCACUGUGGGUCACCUUCGGUGGCGGCACAAAACUGUCAGUUGGCCGUGACACAGUCCCCGCCCUCACAGUCCUGCCCCCCUCCAGUGUGGAGGUGAAGCAGGGGAAGGCCACACUGGUGUGUCUGGCCUACAAGGGCUUCCCGUCAGACUGGACUCUGCGCUGGAAAGUGGACGGUACCAGUAGGAGCUCGGGCGUGGCCGGGAGCGCCGGGGUCCUGGGGAAGGACGGCCUGUACAGCUGGAGCAGCUCCCUGACUCUCAGUGCGGACGACUGGAUGAAGGCGGGGUCACUGACCUGUGAGGCCACAAAGGGCUCCCAGGCUGCCCCCCCUCAGACACUGAGGAGAGCUGACUGUGCUGAGUAGGGCGGGUGCAGGCCCAGCUCACACACUCUGAUCACACUGUGUUUACCCUGCUCUGCUCUCAGCCUCUCUGCUCCUUACUGCUGCACACUGAGCUGGGCCUGUGUGUGAAUCCUUCCUCCAGCCUGAGCUGUCACUGCUAAUGUCUCACAUG